CUGCGACUCCCAAGCCCGGGCUCCACUGAGCCACGCUGCUUCUCUACUGAACCGUUGGCCCACGAUGAAGGAGUCGGCUCAGCUCGUCUCCCCCCGGCCUGCGGGAGUCUAAAUCGGCAAUAGUCUGCAAACUAGAUCCGGGCAACAUAAAGGCAAGCUCCAAGAUUCCCUCCACUGCAAGGCGUUUGGGGCACGGGAGCUGCACUGGCGUGGAGCUGGCAGGAAAGUCGUCUUAUGCUCCUGCUGCUUCAGCUCUUUGGGCCUGUAGGCUGUGGUCCCCUCGUCCGGCCGAGGAAUCUGUGGAGCUCCCAUCAUCGUCAGCCAGCUGCUAGAGAAGACUGGGGCGAUUCUGCCACCUCCCACCCCCAACCCAACACCCACUCGCCAACAGCACCUUUAAAUGCCUGGCUGUUCUGGGCUAUAGCAACAUGAAGGCUGAAGACCUGUGAGAAGGCACUGCCAGGAAGAACAGAGGGAGAUUACCCCAGGGAGCCAGAGAACCCCACCCUCCAAUCAUCUCUGGGCCAGCCCUGGGUAGCGCCCUGGCACCCGACACCAUGUGCCCUCCCUGGGCAGCUUUCACCGUGGGAUCCAGGAAUGCUACUUAGAAGGGAAAAACCAGGAAAGAUUCCACAAUUCAAGUUGCUUGGUGUUUAUCAAAAAGUAACUUUCCACUUUAAUAGCCAGUUCCAGUUAAUCAUGGAGUUAAUUCACCGAGGAAAAUGAGUAAGGUUUGACGUCUAUUUCCUGACGUGUGAAUCACCAAAAAUAUUUGCUCCCCCUGCCCCCCCAAACACACACACAUACACACACACACACACACACGGUGUGAUUUCUGUUCAUCUCAGCUUGUCUGCUGGCCAGAUCUUUGCUUAGGUAUCAAUUUUCACAUCCCAAGACCAUUACUCCCCUAUUAAGCUGUCUAAACCUUCCUGAUCUUUUGAUGGUGCAGCAUUUCUAACUUUAUAUUAUCCUCCCAUAAUCAUCUACCUGCAGAUACAACAAAUGAAUUUACAUCACCUAGGCAAAGUGAGGCUUGUUGGGUUUUCUGCUCUUUUACUGCUUGCGUGGCUUGUACUAAUACUGGUAGUAGUAAUAGUAUUUAUUAAGCACAUCCUGUGUGCAGAACACUGUGUUAGACACUGGGAGAAAAUACAUAGGUGGGAAUUAGACAUGGUCCCUGUCCCUCGGAAGGCUUCUCCUCUUCCAUCACGUGCUGCCCCUGUCAGAAAUGUUUUUUCCACCCAUUUUGUAAGUACUUUCAGUAAGCACUUAGCAAAUUGGAGUGAUAGUUUUGUUUGUUUUUAAAAAUAUAAAAGUGUACAAAAGAAAUAGAAAGGGGGAGAUGGAGAGAAAAGGAGAGAAAAAUAGAAGUAAAAGGGGCAUAUACAGAGAUGCCAAAUCACUAUUGAGUGAUGUGGUGUCACAAUAUUUGCUAACCUCAUGUCAACACAGCAAGUCCAGAUGGUCUUAUUUAUAGCUUGUUAUUUCAAUAACACAUAAAUCUUUUCUCUUGAAAUAUAGAGCUAAAGGGAAGGCUGAUUUGUGUGAUUACUUUUAAGUGAUUUUAUAGGCCUAACUUAAAAAUAGUUAGAAUGAUGGCAGGAAAAAAAAAAACAAAACAAAAACUUAAUUUCAGUUGACACGCUCACCACAAAGCUGUUUUGAAGACAGAUGGGAGGAGGUAGGAACAUCUUGCUGUAAAAGAACAGAUCCCAGUACCUGAUAUAAGAAUGUCAAAUUCUGAAAGUUCCCUGUGAACUUGGCCCGGAAGGUUCUAAAUAGCAGCAGUGGCAGUAUGAGUAAUGGGCUGUCUGCUGAACACUAGGCUGUUGAAUACUGGGCUUGUCCACGCCCCAUGGGGGGGGAAUUAAAAGCAAGGGAAGACGUCAAUGCAACUUUCAAAGUAGCUGAAACCAUUUUCAGCACAGACGUGUGAGCUGCAAUAAAUGUUUGGCAUGGGAAAAGGCUUGAGGAGUCAAAUUGGCUUCGGGGUCGUCCCUAAACCCAAUACCCCAGAUCCCACCCCUUCCAGGAAGCAUGGUUCUAGACCACAUCUGAGUUACCGGUGUCCCCCCCACUCCUGCAGGCCCCAGCCAGUCCUUCUCCUCCCCACCUUGCAAAGAGUGCCAUUGUAGAUCCUGGACGGCUGUCCCAUAUGACAAGAGCUCUCCAGAGUCCCAUCUGUUGGAAUGGGUGGGGCCUGGGACCAUUUCAGAG